UUGUACGUAAAUUCUGAUAUUUUUCUUACUAAAAAUCUGGGUUAAUAUUUUUUGAUUAUUUUGGCUUCUAGUCGACUGAAAUUUGAAAUCGGAUAAUCUGCCAAUUGGCUGUUUAAACCAGCGAACAAUUAUUAAGUAAUAAGCGAUUCGGGUCAGGGCGAUCAUGUGGCACUCAUGAAUCAUGCAGACACAUUGGCCGCACCCCUGUUCAAUUCAAUUCGAAUGGAAUCGAAUCGAAUCCACCGGCAGCCAUGACUUGAGCAAUUAUUGACAAAUUGCGGGCGGAGACAAAAGCGAUGGGAUGGGGCAGGGUGAUUCCAAGUUGAGAAUCGGGAAUGGGAAUGGGAAUUACGUAUUGAUGGCCCUAAAUGCUGACGUUUACGCUCAGGCGUUAUUUCUCACCCCGUUACAGACGCAGCUUGUGUGCUUUUCCCCUCCCCACCUUUCUACUGACGCCGAGGUCGUAGGUCAUGGUGGGGGAUGGCCACUUCGUUCUCUCAUGGGCGUAGCGACAGGAAAUUUAAUUACAAGGCAAAACGACGACGAUAUCACAAUAUAACUACGAGAGAUUCAAACGCACAUUGAACAGAUGCACAGACAGAAAAAAGGAUGGCUUUCAGGCACGAGGAUACAUUUAGAAUUAUCAUUCUAUCAAAUUAUAAUGUUACGCAUUUAUAUUUAAGUACCUGAGGCUGGAAUAAAUAUAUAUGUAUUAUCCUAAUAAUUUAGUUGAC
rnacentral:sRNA from 1 species